GCAGUGAUCGUCUAGUGGUUAGGACCCUACGUUGAGAUCGUAGUAACCCAGGUUCGAAUCCUGGUCACGGCA
rnacentral:tRNA from 1 species